AUUGAACGCUGGCGGCAGGCCUAACACAUGCAAGUCGAACGAGUGGCGGACGGGUGAGUAAUGUCUGGGAAACUGCCCGAUGGAGGGGGAUAACUACUGGAAACGGUAGCUAAUACCACAUACCAUCGGAUGUGCCCUGAUGGGAUUAGCUAGUAGGUGGGGUAACGGCUCACCUCGGCGACGAUCCCUAGCUGGUCUGAGAGGAUUACCAUCCACACUGGAACUGAGACACUGUCCAGACUACUACGGGAGGCAGCAGUGGGGAAUAUUGCACAAUGGGGGCAAGCCUGAUGCAGCCAUGCCGCGUGUAUGAAGAAGGCCUUCGGGUUGUAAAGUACUUUCAGCGAGGAGGCGUUACUCGCAGAAGAAGCACCGGCUAACUCCGUGCCAGCCGCCGCGGUAAUAC
rnacentral:rRNA from 1 species